rnacentral:rRNA from 1 species
UACAGAGGUCUCAAGCGUCGUUCGGAUUCACUGGGCGUAAAGGGUGCGUAGGCGGCGCGGUAAGUCGGGUGUGAAAUUUCGAGGCUUAACUUCGAAACUGCAUUCGAUACUGCCGUGCUUGAGGACUGGAGAGGAAACUGGAAUUUACGGUGUAGCGGUGAAAUGCGUAGAUAUCGUAAGGAAGACCAGUGGCGAAGGCGGGUCUCUGGACAGUUCCUGACGCUGAGGCACGAAGGCCAGGGGAGCAAACGGG